AAGGCCUACGACUCCUCGAGUCUGAGCACACAUACCCGAUACAAACGUGCCGCGCAUUACGCCUAAUAGACGUGAUUCCGCAUUUCGUAUACGUGUGUAUAUACAUACCCCUAUACAGACAUGCGUAGAGGUAUGUCUACGCGGAAAGGAAAAACAAACGAGAACGACGCAGUAUAUAGUAGACGAGAGGCGCGGGAAGACAAAGGAGAAGCGGUCGUGUGCGACGAGUGACGCAGGACGUUUCCCAAAAACGGUAUAAAUCGAUCAAAGGAAUGAAACUAGGGAUGGCCGUAAUUCUAUCAUCGGUUUUCCAUACUUUGCAGCGACGAGCGCGAAAUAAUUCGAAUUCCGAGUACAGAGGAAACGACGCACUUGUCAGCGAGAGGAGGGAAAGGAAAUGAGUUUUCGAUACAUUAUUGUAAAUUCAUCCGAGAAUGAAUGUCGCCGUUGUUCGGCUUUUCAGCGUUUGGCGCGAGAGCGAGCCGUUUCAAGAGUGAUGUAUAGAUCGCUGGUAUAAUACGUGCAGAUGUGAGUGGUUCGCGAGAAUGCGAGCUGUUUGAGUUUUUGCUUGUUUAGUAGCGAGAAAUAAUGAAACGUGAGAGUUAUAGUAGACGAUGUAGGUAUUUUAUUAAUUCAUCCUCCUUUGUUUAAUGAAAUAUGUUGUAUGCGGAAGAUCGGAUGAGUAUUGGGUAUUAUGAUUUUGAAUUUGUCAAAAUGAGGUAACGGAAAGAGAGACUUACGCAAGAUGAAUGUGAUUUAUCCAAGUGAUAACUGCUGUGUCUCACCUGUAACAAGCAAAAAUUUAAUAAAUUAGUUUGAUAAAAUUAA